GGGGUUGUGGCUCAGUGGUAGAGCGCUCGACUAGCACAUGUGAGGCCCUGAGUUCGAUCCUCAGCACCACA
rnacentral:tRNA from 1 species